GUAGGUGGCAAGCGUUGUCCGGAAUUAUUGGGCGUAAAGCGCGCGCAGGCGGUUCUUUAAGUCUGAUGUGAAAGCCCACGGCUCAACCGUGGAGGGUCAUUGGAAACUGGAGAACUUGAGUACAGAAGAGGAAAGCGGAAUUCCACGUGUAGCGGUGAAAUGCGUAGAGAUGUGGAGGAACACCAGUGGCGAAGGCGGCUUUCUGGUCUGUAACUGACGCUGAGGCGCGAGAGCGUGGGGAGCAAACAGGAUUAGAUACCCUGGUAGUCCACGCCGUAAACGAUGAGUGCUAAGUGUUAGGGGGGUUUCCGCCCCCCUUAGUGCUGCAGCUAACGCAUUAAGCACUCCGCCUGGGAGUACGGCCGCAAGGCUG
rnacentral:rRNA from 1 species